rnacentral:hammerhead_ribozyme from 1 species
ACCUUGCUGACGAGUGCCACGUAGCACGAAACCUGGGUCCAAGGU